UACGUAGGGUGCGAGCGUUAAUCGGAAUUCCUGGGCGUAAAGCGUGCGCAGGCGGUUAUGUAAGACAGGUGGGAAAUCCCCGGGCUUAACCUGGGAACUGCAUUUGUGACUGCAUAGCUAGAGUACGGUAGAGGGGGGUGGAAUUCCGCGUGUAGCAGUGAAAUGCGUAGAUAUGCGGAGGAACACCGAUGGCGAAGGCAAUCCCCUGGACCUGUACUGACGCUCAUGCACGAAAGCGUGGGGAGCAAACAGG
rnacentral:rRNA from 1 species